UGCUAAGUGGGGAAGAAGUCCUGAGCUGAUCAAAAUAAUGCUGAUGAGGACAGGUGAAGCAGAUCCAGUGAUGUUUGUUCUUCACCCUUUCCCACAACCUGCAAAGCCAAGACUGACAACAAGUAAUAACUCCUGGGAACCAUGGCAUGGAGUCUUCAUCCCAGAAUCUAAGAAUGCAGGAGAGUGUUUCCUGUGCAGAAAGCACAAUCUUCCCCCACCACUGGCCAUCCACCCAACACGCUCACUGGGCUAACUGAACUGACACGGCACUCCGGAAGCAGCCGUUGGGCCACAGCUGAGGCCAACUGGAGUGCGCCCAGUGAAGUCUGGAGAUCCCGAG
rnacentral:lncRNA from 1 species